rnacentral:rRNA from 1 species
CAGCAGCCGCGGUAAUACAGAGGGUGCGAGCGUUAAUCGGAUUUACUGGGCGUAAAGCGUGCGUAGGCGGCUUUUUAAGUCGGAUGUGAAAUCCCUGAGCUUAACUUAGGAAUUGCAUUCGAUACUGGGAAGCUAGAGUAUGGGAGAGGAUGGUAGAAUUCCAGGUGUAGCGGUGAAAUGCGUAGAGAUCUGGAGUAAUACCGAUGGCGAAGGCAGCCAUCUGGCCUAAUACUGACGCUGAGGUACGAAAGCAUGGGGAGCAAACAGGAUUAGAUACCCCAGUAGUCCCUGUCUCUUAUAC